GGGGAGGAGGAAGCAGACGGAACGCUAAAAAGAGAAGGAGGUUCCCCCUCCCUUCUCCGGCGUUCCGUCUGCUUCCUCCUUCCCG
rnacentral:pre_miRNA from 1 species